CGUAGGGUGCAGGCGUUAAUCGGAAUUACUGGGCGUAAAGCGUGCGCAGGCGGUUUGCUAAGAGAGAUGUGAAAUCCCCGGGCUUAACCUGGGAACUGCGUUUCUAACUGGUAGGCUUGAGUGUGGCAGAGGGGGUGGAAUUCCACGUGUAGCAGUGAAAUGCGUAGAGAUGUGGAGGAACACCGAUGGCGAAGGCAGCCCCCUGGGCUAACACUGACGCUCAUGCACGAAAGCGUGGGAGCAAACAGGAUU
rnacentral:rRNA from 1 species